rnacentral:rRNA from 1 species
GCACUAGUKUGGGGACAUUYCACGGUUUCCGCGCCGCAGUAACGCAUUAAGCUCCCCGCCUGGGGAGUACGGCCGCAAGGCUAAAACUCAAAGGAWUUGACGGGGGCCCGCACAAGCGGCGGAGCAUGCGGAUUAAUUCGAUGCAACGCGAAGAACCUUACCAAGGCUUGACAUGUUCACGAUCGCCGUAGAGAUACGGUUUCCCCUUUGGGGCGGGUUCACAGGUGGUGCAUGGUUGUCGUCAGCUCGUGUCGUGAGAUGUUGGGUUAAGUCCCGCAACGAGCGCAACCCUCGUUCCAUGUUGCCAGCACGUAAUGGUGGGGACUCAUGGGAGACUGCCGGGGUCAACUCGGAGGAAGGUGAGGACGACGUCAAAUCAUCAUGCCCCUUAUGUCUUGGGCUUCACGCAUGCUACAAUGGCCGGUACAAUGGGUUGCGAUACUGUGAGGUGGAGCUAAUCCCAAAAAGCCGGUCUCAGUUCGGAUUGGGGUCUGCAACUCGACCCCAUGAAGUCGGAGUCGCUAGUAAUCGCAGAUCAGCAACGCUGCGGUGAAUACGUUCCCGGGCCUUGUACACACCGCCCGUCAAGUCACGAAAGUCGGUAACACCCGAAGCCGGUGGCCUAACCYUAWUGGGGAGCCKCCGCAAGGWGGGAWCWCCGACCAAYAGUC